GGUUGCGAUCAUAACAGCACUAAUGCACCGGAUCCCAUCAGAACUCCGCAGUUAAGCGUGCUUGGGCGAGAGUAGUACUAGGAUGGGUGACCCCCUCGGAAGUCCUCGUGUUGCAACCC
rnacentral:rRNA from 1 species